CUUAUCCCUAAUCUCUCUCUCUCUCAAAUCCCUAAUCUCUACCAGUGCAUGCCUCUCUCUCUCUCACCAUCACAUUCAGUCUUUCUCUCAGUCGCUCUCCCUUGCUCUUUCUCUCAUUCACUCUCUCACAUUCUCUCGGCUUUCUAACCCUCGCGCCGUUGAACCACACCAUAACCACACCCCUGCUGAAGCCUCCCUCACGCCAGUACUCACGCAACUGAAGCACACCAUGACCACGCCCGUGCUAUAGUCGUUGAGUCUCUCGUCCCCCCCUCUCUGUUUAUCUCUCCCGCUGGCUUUGUUUUUCUAUUAACUUAAUUUAAUGGGACUAAAUGCAGAGAAACUAAUUUGUGUGGACAUUGUAGGCACUCCUUGCUUAUGGUCUGAGUAGCUCAAGGCGUGCACCAGAUGCUAUCCAUCCUUAUGGCUAUUCCAAGGAAAGAUUUGUUUGGUCUUUGAUAUCGGCUGUUGGCAUAUUUUGUCUUGGUUCUGGGGCUACUAUUGUUCACGGAGUUCAAAACUUGUGGACUUCACAGCCCCCUCGAAACAUUAAGUAUGCAGCCCUAGUGAUUGCUGGUUCUUUUAUUAUUGAAGGUGCUUCUCUUAUUGUUGCCAUACAAGCUGUCAAGAAAGGUGCAGCUGCUGAGGGAAUGAAAGUGAGAGACUACGUUUGGCGUGGCCAUGAUCCCACAUCUGUUGCAGUCAUGACAGAGGAUGGAGCUGCUGUUGCUGUUCUUGUUAUUGCUAGAGCAUCCCUGGUUGCAGUAAACAUCACAGGGAAUGGAAUUUAUGAUUCCAUAGGCUCAAUUAUUGUUGGCAACUUACUUGGAAU